UACGUAGGGGGCUAGCGUUGUCCGGAUUUAUUGGGCGUAAAGAGCGUGUAGGCGGCCAAGUAGGUCCGGUGUGAAAACUCGAGGCUUAACCUCGAGAUGUCAUCGGAAACCAUUUGGCUAGAGUCCGGAAGAGGAAAGUGGAAUUCCUGGUGUAGCAGUGAAAUGCGUAGAGAUCAUGAGGAAGACCAGUGGCGAAGGCGGGUCUCUGGACAGUUCCUGACACUGAGGCACGAAGGCCAGGGGAGCAAACGGG
rnacentral:rRNA from 1 species